rnacentral:rRNA from 1 species
AGCAGUAGCCACGGUAAUACAGAGGUCUCAAGCGUUGUUCGGAUUCAUUGGGCGUAAAGGGAGCGUAGGCGGUCGGGUAGUCGGAUGUGAAAUCCUGGGGCUCAACCUCAGAACUGCAUUCGAUACUGCUUGGCUAGAGGACUGGAGAGGUGAGUGGAAUUCACGGUGUAGCAGUGAAAUGCGUAGAUAUCGUGAGGAACACCAGUGGCGAAGGCGACUCUCUGGUCUGUAACUGACGCUGAGGAGCGAAAGCGUGGGGAGCGAACAGGAUUAGAUACCCGAGUAGUCCCUGUCUCUUAUACA